rnacentral:rRNA from 1 species
GUCCACGCCGUAAACGAUGUCAACUAGGUGUCGGGCAGAUUUACUGUUCGGUGCCGUAGCUAACGCGUUAAGUUGACCGCCUGGGGAGUACGGCCGCAAGGUUGAAACUCAAAGGAAUUGACGGGGGCCCGCACAAGCGGUGGAGCAUGUGGUUUAAUUCGAUGCAACGCGAAGAACCUUACCAGCUCUUGACAUACAGAGAACUUUCUAGAGAUAGAUUGGUGCCUUCGGGAACUCUGAUAC